UAUUUCAAGGAUUUUUCUACUCUUUACAAAGAGCUGAAAUAUAACAACAGAAGGGAAAUUUAAAUCCUAAAUAUGAAGGGUUCCCAAUCUAUAUCUGUAGGCCCACUUAGAGUUAUAAAGAGGGUGGAAAAAGAAGUGUUUUCUCCAGCUUGAGAGCCAUAGCCUUCCUAGUUACAUCAGGUGGCACAUCUUCUGGUGGAGCUUCUGGUGACAGGUCUAAGGACUCUGCAUUUGAAGCCAAAGUUGCAAAGCUUGUUGAGCUAGGAUUUGGAAGAGAAGCAGUUAUACAAGCUCUUAAAUUAUUCAAUGGAAAUGAGGAACAAGCUGCUGGGUUUCUUUUUGGGGGCUGAAAAGUGCAUUUCUUAUUUGAAAAAAGGAUUAAUUAAUUUAUUACUUCACUUGAUUUUUAUUUUUUGCUAAUUUCAUUUCAAAUUGUAAAAACAAGUUAUAGGCCUGAUGAUUACAUUCACAGUCCACUGUUCAUACUGUAAGGAAUGUUUCUAUUUGAUUGAUAAACUAACUUAUUGUUUCUCAA